AACGUAGGAGACAAACGUUAUCCGGAGUUACUGGGCGUAAAGGGCGUGUAGGUGGUUUCGUAAGUCUGGCGUGAAAUUUUUCGGCUUAACCGGGAAAGGUCGUCGGAUACUGCAGAACUAGAGGACGGUAGAGGCGUGUGGAAUUCCGGGUGUAGUGGUGAAAUGCGUAGAGAUCCGGAGGAACACCAGUGGCGAAGGCGACACGCUGGGCCGUACCUGACGCUGAGACGCGAAAGCGUGGGGAGCAAACAGG
rnacentral:rRNA from 1 species